GCAGGGGUGGCGGAAUAGGCAGACGCGCAAGCUUGAGGUGCUUGUGAGAGCAAUCUUGUGUGGGUUCAAGUCCCAUCUCCUGCACCA
rnacentral:tRNA from 1 species